UGGGAAUUUGAUUGUCUAUUGUUAGGUAACAAACUACCCUAAAGGUUAGCCACUCAACAAUAGUUAUUUACUAUUUCUCACGAUUCUGUGAGUUAGUUGUGCUCAGCAGGGUGGUUCUUCUGGUCUGUAUGGUGUUGGCUGGGGUCACUCAAGUGACCACAUUCAGAUGUUGAAAUUCUAAGCGCCCUCGCCGGUGAAUGCGACCUUAUUUGGAAAUGAAGUUUCUGCAGAUGAUUAAGUAAGGAUGAAGUCACCAGAGUGGGAAAUUUGAAUUUGGAGACAGAUGUGCCCACGAGGAGAAUGUCACAGGAGGUGCAGGAAGGAUUUGGGCUGAUGCAUCAACAGACCAGGAAAAACCAAAGAUGGCCAGCAAAUCCCUAAAGCUGAGAGAGGCCUCCAACAGAUUCUCUCGUAGCCUCAGUUGAACCAACCAUUCUGACACCUGCCGGCAGAAUACAUUUCUGUUGUUUUAAACCACCCAGCUUGUGACACUGUGCUAGGAAACAAAUAUGCUCAGCACAUGUUAA